UACGGAGGAUGCGAGCGUUAUCCGGAUUUAUUGGGUUUAAAGGGUGCGUAGGCGGUCGGAUAAGUUAGAGGUGAAAUCCCGAGGCUCAACUUCGGAAUUGCCUCUGAUACUGCUCGGCUAGAGAGUAGUUGCGGUAGGCGGAAUGUAUGGUGUAGCGGUGAAAUGCAUAGAUAUAACUUAGAACACCGAUAGCGAAGGCAGCUUACCAGACUGAGUCUGACGCUGAUGCACGAGAGCAUGGGUAGCGAACAGG
rnacentral:rRNA from 1 species